GGUUAAAGCCUUUGGAACUGGUUUGAGCAAAGCUGUAGGUGAUUUGACAAAAUCAUCUGCAAAACCAGAUUUCUAACACCUCCCUGCUGUGUAUCUCAUUUCUGCUGAUGUGUGGUGCUUCAUAAGAUGGGGACGUUAAGCAUGCAGCAACUACAGUCAUUUGUUCUCAGAGGUCUGGACCAAAGAGAAACAAGAAAAGCUGGAGUCACACUACCAAAGGCCGAAGCUGAGCAACAGAGCUCUGGAGUCAGCUGCCUGGGUUCAGCAUGCAGCGCUGCCGUGGACGAUCUGUCUCUCUUGCAUAUAUGACUUACCAGUUUUACUUUCAGUCUCUCCAUUUCUAAUUAAAUGAGAUGCAGAAAUGCUGGUGCCUUGCUAUGAUGUUUGCAGUUAUUAUUUCUAGGAAAAAAAAUAUUAUUGUUACUCAGUAUCUGGUACAUCAAAACUAAGCCAGAAACGUUUAAAAAGAACAAAAGUAUCAUUUCUACUUAAUUCUCUAGCUACUUGGACAACUGGACUAUGCCCCUCCUUUCAAGGGAGGGCAAAGCAUUUCAGAAAAGAACUAAGUGCUAUUUCUCUGCUUCAGGAAUGUCUCCCGUAUGUAAAAGAAUGUGGCUUCAGGGAGUAGCAUGUGUUGUAAAGGUGGAUGGGUCUAACUUCAUGGACAGCUCUGACAUCCACUAGCUAUGCCACCUGAUGCAAACCACUUGGGCUGUCUGUAGUUUCGUUUAUCUUUCUGGAAUUGGUAAUAACAACCACCUGGCAAGAUCACUGUUAUGAAUACGGAGGAUCAAAGUUGUGAAGUUAUUUUGUAAAGUGAAAUGUUCUGAAAAUUGGAUUUUAACAGUGUCAGCGAAAAGUAGAUUUUUGACAUUUAUCAAGAGUUCAGCUAAUGAAAACAAGUAUGGAUAAUAGUUACAUAGAACUGUCUACUUUACUCAGUACUUUAGCAUAUGCUAUUAUAUUUAAUCUUCUUAAAAAGUAGAAAAUUAUACAAGCCAUGUAUUACUAUUAUUGUGGUGGUUGUCGUUCUCAAUUACACACUGAAUAUUAAGACCUCUCAGGUAGCAGCUGGAAGGACAUUGUAUCCAGUUUCCUGAUUGUUUUCAAUGGAAUAAUCAUGUAUACAUGCACUACUAAUGAGACAAUGGUGAUUCUAAAAGCUUAAUCAGGGGGACUUUUGUGUAUUCCAAAUCUACUAAAAAUAAAGAAACACAGAAAUGAGAAAAAUGUACAUUAGCAAGAAAAUGUACACCAGCAUUCAGGCUUAGCCUUUUGAGAGCAAUAUGAUAAAUAGAAAUAGAAUUUCACAAAUUUAACAUGAUGCUAAUCGAGGAAUGAAUGAAAAAGUGGUCAGCAGUCUAAAUGGAACAUAACACAAAGAGAUCUCGUAAACAGUAAGCUUUGUGCAGGACAUCUCUUGGGGGUCCCAGGUGUUGGGAGAGUCAGGGAGAGAUGUCUACUGUUUGAACAGCAAUAAUACAAAGUUGAAGUGGGACAAUAUUCACCACCGUAGCUUGAUGGAAUUAGCCUUUCAAAAGAUUGAGUUUAUUUAUUUAGAAAUUGCCUUACCCCCUUUUUAUAAAUGUGGCAAAUCAGCAAAGACGGUGACAUUCUUUUAAUUCAAAACAUCCGUUCAAUCUACAGUCUGCUCUCCUAGAUGGAUUUUAAGAGUGGGGGUUUGUCUUCCAACUAAUGUUUGUCUUCCAACUAAUGUUCCCCUGUCAAUUAACUAUCAUUUCCUGUUCUUAUUAAUCAAUUAGAUCUUUUCCACUGCCUCAGACUAUUCUUCAUUCAACAUUUGUUUUUUAUCUAAAAUGUCCCAGACUGUUCUAAGCAUUAAGAGUAAAAUGUCUUAGAAGAAAUAAAUCAAGUUGAGUGGGUAUCAUAAACCACUCAACUAGUGGCCGAGUCAGAAAUCUAAA
rnacentral:lncRNA from 1 species